CCUACGGGAGGCAGCAGUGGGGAAUAUUGGGCAAUGGAGGAAACUCUGACCCAGCAACGCCGCGUGAAUGAUGAAGGUCUUCGGAUUGUAAAGUUCUUUUCUAAGGGAAGAAGAAAGUGACGGUACCUUAGGAAUAAGCCUCGGCUAACUACGUGCCAGCAGCCGCGGUAAUACGGAAGGCCCGAGCGUUAUCCGGAUUCAUUGGGCUUAAAGGGAGCGUAGGCGGGCUUGCAAGUCAGCUGUAAAAUCGCGCGGCUCAACCGCGCCCCGCAGUUGAAACUGGACGCCUUGAGUUCACAACAGGCAGGCGGAAUUCGUGGUGUAGCGGUGAAAUGCAUAGAUAUCACGAGGAACCCCGAUUGCGAAGGCAGCCUGCCGGGGUGCGACUGACGCUGAGGCUCGAAGGUGCGGGUAUCAAACAGGAUUAGAUACCCCAGUAGUC
rnacentral:rRNA from 1 species